rnacentral:rRNA from 4 species
GGUUGCGAUCAUACCAGCAAUAAUG